GAUGAACGCUGGCGGCGUGCCUAAUACAUGCAAGUCGAGCGAACAGACGAGGAGCUUGCUCCUCUGACGUUAGCGGCGGACGGGUGAGUAACACGUGGAUAACCUACCUAUAAGACUGGGAUAACUUCGGGAAACCGGAGCUAAUACUGGAUAAUAUAUUGAACCGCAUGGUUCAAUAGUGAAAGACGGUUUUGCUGUCACUUAUAGAUGGAUCCGUGCCGCAUUAGCUAGUUGGUAAGGUAACGGCUUACCAAGGCAACGAUGCGUAUCCGACCUGAGAGGGUGAUCGGCCACACUGGAACUGAGACACGGUCCAGACUCCUACGGGAGGCAGCAGUAGGGAAUCUUCCGCAAUGGGCGAAAGCCUGACGGAGCAACGCCGCGUGAGUGAUGAAGGUCUUCGGAUCGUAAAACUCUGUUAUUGGGGAAGAACAAAUGUGUAAGUAACUAUGCACGUCUUGACGGUACCUAAACAGAAAGCCACGGCUAACUACGUG
rnacentral:rRNA from 1 species